rnacentral:rRNA from 1 species
CCUACGGGAGGCAGCAGUGGGGAAUCUUGCGCAAUGGGCGAAAGCCUGACGCAGCCAUGCCGCGUGAAUGAUGAAGGUCUUAGGAUUGUAAAAUUCUUUCACCGGGGACGAUAAUGACGGUACCCGGAGAAGAAGCCCCGGCUAACUUCGUGCCAGCAGCCGCGGUAAUACGAAGGGGGCUAGCGUUGCUCGGAAUUACUGGGCGUAAAGGGAGCGUAGGCGGAUAGUUUAGUCAGAGGUGAAAGCCCAGGGCUCAACCUUGGAAUUGCCUUUGAUACUGGCUAUCUUGAGUAUGGGAGAGGUUAGCGGAACUCCGAGUGUAGAGGUGAAAUUCGUAGAUAUUCGGAAGAACACCAGUGGCGAAGGCGGCUAACUGGCCCAUUACUGACGCUGAGGCUCGAAAGCGUGGGGAGCAAACAGGAUUAGAUACCCUGGUAGUCCACGCCGUAAACGAUGAGUGCUAGUUGUCGGCAUGCAUGCAUGUCGGUGACGCAGCUAACGCAUUAAGCACUCCGCCUGGGGAGUACGGUCGCAAGAUUAAAACUCAAAUGAAUUGACGG